GGUGUGGCAUCCUCUUAAAUCUGUUUUGGACAAACUGUUUAAAAUGAAAAAAUUAUACCUAUAUUAUUAUAACUUUUACAUAAUAUUAUAUUGUAGGCGUGUAUGUGUAUCCGCAAUGGCUGUCCUCGUGUUUCGAUUAUUAUUUAUGUUAUAUUUCGUACAGACCACGAUGUGAUACACGAACUGCCUCAUUUGAAGAAAAGAGCUGCGAGAAAUUUAAAAUAAACAGUAAAAUGAUUAAAUGCAAAUAUUGCAUUGGUAAAAUAUGCAUAAUAUUAUAAUAAUUGUUAUUUAUUUAUUUAAUGAUAGAUUGAAACUUGUUUACUACAAUAAAAUAUUUCGAUAAGAAUUAAUUUUAAACACGUUAUACAACCAUAAUAGGUAUACUAUAUAAUGUAGGUACACAUUAUUGUGGUAUAUUACAAUGAAUGCAUACAAUAUUUUGAAGUUUUGAACCUUAUGUAAAAAUUAUUUUCUUAUUAUUAUGUGUUAUUUUUUAAACAUUUAAACGUAUGAGUACGACACGAUUAUGAGUCAUAUUUAUCACAUAAUAAGGUGAGGUCACAAGACUUAUACGUUGACUUGGAUUUAAUUUGUCCAACAAAAAUGCAAUAUUAUAUGGACGUGAAAAAAAAAUUAUAUUUACACUCACGUCUCUACUGAACUUCCAUAAAAAUAUAUACUAAAGUAUAUUAUAUUUAUACUUAAUAGGUAUUAGGCAUAUAUUAUUAUUUAAACAACGUAAUUUAUCCAAAAAACAUAAUAUUAUAGGUGGUACAUAAAUCAAAUUCCAAUAACUUUUCUAACCUUACCUAACCUGGCUAAUCUUAAUGUAAAAUUUAUUUAAAAUCAUCUAAAUAUUUAAACAAGAAAGUAGAAACUGUACAUUCGUUAAAGAGAGUCAGUUAAAAAACGUAUUUGUGUUAUAAUAUUUAUUAUCUUGAUAAGUGAACAACGAUGCAUGUAUACGAAAUGUGUGUGUACCUUUAUCUUUGUAUACCUACUUGUUACUUCAUAUGUUUAUAAAAUAUUGUCAUGAAUAUAUUAAAAGAAACUCGUCUUUUUAUAUAGAUUUUAUUUUCUUAGUAUUCUAACUAGUCACGGCCGUGGUGUGCUGUAUUCACAAACUUUAUGUCAUAUGUGUUUAACAUUUGUACAUUAAAUAUAAUGGUUGUUAAAAAAUCAAAUAUAUACCUACUCGCAUUAGAA